GUGGCUAAAACAAAUAAAAAUCAUAGCAGGAUCAAAGUACACACACAAAUUUAUUCCUUCUGGAAGCAGCUUCUCUUUCCCUUUCCCCCUCUCUCCUUCCCUUGUUUUCCCCUCCUUUGAGUCCCAGCGAUUCUUUCAUGGCAGAACUCCAGGAUGGCCUCGUCUCCUUGCAGCACAAUCACAGUUUCAUCUCUGAUUGAUGGGGCGAAGGCACCGGCACCGCGGGUUUGAAGGAGAUCUAAGGGCCUUCCUAAUUUCAUGGUGGGCAUGUGAAGUGUCACAUUAAUCAGCGCUCUUUAUGAGCAGUUCAAAGAGUCAUAGAUGUUGGGAAGGUGGCUGUUUGAAGCACAGAGCCAAGGGAUUUCAGGAUUUUAUCAACAACCUGGGGGUUCCACCUCCUCUCCCCAGUGCACCUCUUGCCUGACUGCUGGGUGGAAUUUUACAUGAGAAUCAUACGGAGCUAAAGGAACCUACGAUACCAUCCAGUUCCAACCCAUACUUUACAUAGGAAUCAGCAGAGGCUGGGAGUCUCUCUUGGGGUCACACAGAAAGCCAUCUAGUCUGGAAGCAGUGGGUUAUUCAAGCCUCCUGGUUGCGUGUGACAACUCAAAUGAGGUUAAGCACUGAUAUAGUUUGGCUCUGUGUCCCCAACCAAAUCUCAUGUCGAAUUGUAAUUCCCAGUGUUGGGGAAGUGGGCUGGUUGGAGGUGAUUGGAUCAUGGGGGCAGAUUUCCCCCUUGCAUUCUUGUGAUGGUGAAUGAGUUCUCAGGAGACCUGGUUGUUUGAAAGUGUGUGGCACCUCCCUCUUUGCUCUCUUCCUCCUUCUCCAGACACAUGAAGACGUGCCCGCUUCCCCUUUGCUUUCUGCCAUGAUUGUAAGUUUCCUGAGGCGUCCCCAGCCCUGCAGAACUGUGAGUAAUUUAAACCUCUUUCCUUUAUAAAUUACCCAGUCUCAGGCAGUUCUUCAUAGCAGCAUGAGAAUGGAAUAAAACAGUAAAUUGAUACUGGGUAGUGGGGCGCUGCUAUAAAGAUACUAAAAAACGUGGAAGUGACUUUGGAACUGGGUAACAGGCAGAGGUUGGAACAGUUUGGAGGGCUCAGAAGAAGACAGGAAGAUGUCUUCCAGGAAAGUUGGAACUUCCUAGAGACUUGUUUAAUGGUUUUGACCAAAAUGCUGAUAGUGAUGUGGACAAUGAAGUCCUGGCUGAGGUGGUCUCAGAUGGAGAUGAAGAACUUUUUGGGAACUGGAAUAAAGGUGACUCUUGCUACAUUUUAGCAAAGAGACUGGCAGUAUUUUGCCCUUGCCCUAAAGAUCUGUGGAAUUUUGAACUUGAGAGAGAUGAUUUAGGGUAUCUGGCAGAAGAAAUUUCUGAGCAGCAAAGCAUUCAAGAGGUGACUUGGGUGCUGUUAAAAGCAUUCAGUUUUAUGUACUCACAAAUAUAUGGUUUGGAAUUAAAACUUAUGUUUAAAAGGGAACCAGAACAUAAAACUUAGGAAAAUUUGCAGCCUGAUGAUGCGAUAGAAAAGAAAAACCCAUUUUUGGAGAAGAAAUUCAAGCCAGCUAGAUAAAUUUGCAUCAGUAACGAAAAGCCAAAUGUUAAUCACCAAGACAAUGGGGAAACUGUCUCCAGGGCAUGUCAGAGUUCUUCACAGCAGUCCCUCCCAUCACAGGCCCAGAGGCCUAGGAGGAAAAAAGGGUUUCACGGGCUAGGCCUAGGGCCUUGCUGCUUUGUGUAGUAUAGGGAUUUGGUGAUAGUGAGUUCCAGCUGUGGCUCAAGGGGCCAACAUAGAGCUCAGGCUGUUGCUUCAGAGGGUGCAAGCCCCAAGCCUUGGUGGCUUACACGUGGUCUUGGACCUGUGGGUGUACAGGAGUCAAGAAUUGAGGUUUGGGAACCUCAGCUUAGAUUUCAGAGGAUGUAUGGAAAUACCUGGAUGUACAGGCAGAAGUCUGCUGUAGGGGCAAAGCCCUCAUGGAGAACCUCUGCUAGGGCAUUGAAGAAGGGAGAUGUGGGAUUGGAGCCCCCACAGGGAGUCCCCAUGGGGGUGCUGCCCGGUUGAACUGUGAGAGGAGGGCCACCGUCCUUCAGACCCCAGAAUGGUAGAUCCGCUGACAGCUUGCACUGUGCACCUGGAAAUGCCUCAGACACUCAAUGCCAUCUUGUGAAAGCAAAGCCACAGGGGUGAAGCAGUCCAAGGCCAUGGGAGCCCACCUCUUGCAUCAGCGUGACCUGAUGUGAGACAUGGAGUUGAAGGAGAUUAUUCUGGAACUUUAAGGUUUGGUUACUGCCCUGUUGGAUUUUGGACUUGGGUGGGGCCUGGAGCCUCUUUGUUUUGGCCAAUUUCUCUCAUUUGGAAUGGGUGUAUUUGUCCAAUGCCUGUAUCUCCAUUGUAUCUUGGAAGUAAUUAACUCACUUUUGAUUUUACAGGCUCAUAGGCGAAGGAAUUUGCCUUGUCUCAGAUGAGACUUUAGAUUUGGACUUUGGGGAUAAUGAUGGAAUGAAUUAAGACUUUGGGGGACUGUUGGAAGUACAUAAUUGUGUUUUGAAAUGUGAGGACAUAUUUUAAAGGGACCAUGAAUGGAAUAACAUGUUUUGGCUGUGUCCCACCCAAAUCUCAUCUUGAAUUGUAGUUCUCAUAAUCCCCAUGUGUCAUGGGAGGGACCUGGUGGGAGGUAAUUAAAUCAUGGGGGUGUUUAUUAGUCUGAUCUCACACUGCUAUAAAGAACUGCCCAAGACUGGGUAAUUUAUAAAGAAAGAAGGUUUAAAUGACUCAUAGUUCUGUGGGGCUGAGGAGGCCUCAAACAACUUACAAUCAAAGUGGAAGGAAGUAAACACAUCCUUCUUUACAGGAUGGCAGGAAGGAGAAGUGCCAAGUAAAUGGGGGAAAAGCUCCUUAUAAAACCAUCAGAUCUGAAAACUCACUCACUGUCAUGAAAACAGCAUGGAGGUAACUCCCUCCAUGAUUCAGUUACCUCCCACAGGGUCCCUUCUAUGACAUGUGGGGAUUAUGGGAGCUACAAUUCAAGAUGAGAUUUGGGUGGGGACAUGACCAAACCAUAUCACUGCACCUCAGGGAUGAUCCAAGACACCUCCUGGUACAGUGCUCACACCUCAGGGAUGACCCAAGACAUCUCCUAGUGUAGUGGUCCUACCUCAGGGAUGAUUCAAGACACCUUGUGGUGCAGUGCUCACACUUCAGAAAUGAUCCAAGAAACCUCCUGGUGUAGUGAUCCUACCUCAGGGAUGAUCCAAGACAUCUCCUGGUGCAGUGCUCACACCUCAGGGAUGAUUGAAGACACCUCCUGGUGCAGUGCUCCCACCUCAGGGAUGAUCCAAGACACCUCCUUGUGCAGUGCUCACAAUUCAGGGCUGAUCCAAGACACCUCCUGAUACAGUGCUCACAACUCAGGCAUAAUCCAAGACACCCCCUGGCACAGUACUCCCUUCUUAGGGAUGAGCCAAGACAACUGCUUGUGCAGUGCUCACACCUUAGGCAGAAUCCAAGACACUUGCUGGUGCAGUGUUCUGACCUCAAGGAUGAUAAAAUACACUUCCUGGUGCAGUGCUGACAAUUCAGGCAUCAUCCAAGAGACCUUCUGGUGCGGUGCCUACAUGUCAGGUUUGAUCCAAACAUCUCCUGGUGUAGUGCUCUGACCUCGGGGAUGAUACAAGAUACCUCCUGGUGCAGUACUCACACCUCAGGAAUGAUCCAAGACAACUCCUGGUGCAGUGCUUCCACCUCAGGGAUGAUCCAAGACACCUCGUGGUGUGGUACUCCCACCUCAAAGAUGAUCCAAGACUCCUCUUGGGGUAGUGCUCCCACCUAGGGAUGAUCCAAAACACCUCCUAGUGCAGUGCAUACAUCUCAGGCAUGAUCAAAGACACCUCCUGGUGCAGUGCUCAAGCCUUAGGGAUGAUUCGUGAUGCCUUUUGAUGUAGUGUUCACACUUCAGGGAUGAUCCAAUACACCUUCUGGUGCAGUGCUCCCUCCACAGGGAUGAUACAGGACACCUCCUGGUACAAUGGUCACACCUCAGAAGUUAUUCAAGACAGCUCCUGGUGCAGUGCUCACACCUCAGAGAUGAAUCAAGACACCUGGUGCAGUGCUCACACCUCAGGGAUGAAUCAAGACACCUCCUGGUGUAGUGCUCACACCUCAGGGCUGAUUCAAGACACCUGGUGCAGCACCUGCACCUCAGAAAUGAUUCAAGAUACCUCCUGGUACAGUGCCUGCACCUCAGGGAUGAUCUGAGACAUCUCCUGAUGCAAUGUUCACACCCCAAGGAUGAUCCAAGACACCUACUGGUGCAGUGCUCACACCUCAGCGAUGAUUCACAACACCUCCUGGUGCAGUGCUUACACUUCAGCGACGAUCCAAGACACCUCAUGAUGCAGUGCCUGCACCUCAGAAAUGAUCCAAGACACCUCCUGGUGUAGUGCUCCCUCCUCAGGGAUGAUCCAAGACACCCCUCGUGUAGCGCUCCCACCUAAAGGACGAUCUGAGACAUCUGCUGGUGCAUUGCUUGCAUCUUAGCAAUGAUCCAAGACACCUUCUGGUGCAGUGCUCACAAGUCAGGUUGAUCUAAGACACUUCCUUGUGCAGUGCUUCCACCUCAGCAAUGAUACAAGACACCUCCUGGUGCAGUGAUCCCCCUUCAUGGAUGAUUGAGGACACAUCCUGUUGCAGUGCUCACACCUCAGGGAUGAUCCAAGACACUUCCUGUUGCAGUGCUCACACCUCAGGGUAGAUCCAAGAUACCUCCUGGUGCGCUACACUCUCCUCAAAAAUCAUUCCAGAUACCUCCUGGUGCAGUGCUCACACCUCAGCGAUGAUCCAAGAGAUCUCCUGAUGCAGUGCUCCCACAUCAGGGAUGAUCCAAGACACCUUCUGGUGCACUGCCUCCAUCCCAGGGUUGAUCCAAGACACCUUCUGGUGCAGUGCUUAUACCACAGGGAUGAUCCAAGACACCUCCUGUUGCAACUGAGACAUGAUCCAAGAUGCCUCCUGGUGCAGUGGUCACUUUUCAGCAUGAUUUAAGACACCUCCUGGUGUAGUGCUCAAACCUCAGAGAUGAUUUAAGACACGUCCUGGUGCAGUGCUCACAACUCAGACAUGAUCCAAGACACUUCCUGGUGAGGUGUUCACAUCUCAGGGAUGAUCCAAGAUACCUCCUGGUGAGGUGCUCACACCUCAGGGAUGAAUCAAGACACCUCCUGGUUUAGUGCUCACAAUUCAGGGAUGAUCCUAGAUAUCCUGGUGCAGUGCUCACACUGCAGGCAUGACAUAAGACACUUCUGGGUGCAAUGUUCACACCUCAGGGAUGAUCCAAGACACCUCCUGGUGCAAUGCUCACACCUCAGGGAUGAUCCAAAAUACCUCCUGAUGCAGUGCUCACAACUCAGACAUGAUUCAAAAUAUCUCCUGGUGCAGUGCUCACACUCAGGCAUAAUACAAGAAACCUGGUGCGGUGCUGAGACCUUAUGGAUGACCCCAAACACCUCCUGGUGUAGUGCUCACACUCAGGGAUGAUCCAAGACAAUUCCUGGUACAGUGCUCACACCUCAAGGGUGAUCCAAAACACCUCCUGCUGCAGUGCUCACACUCAGGCAUAAUAUAACAAACCUCCUGGUGUGGUGCUCACACCUUAUAAAUGACCCCAAACACCUGGUGCAGUGCUCACUCUCAGGGAUGAACCAAGACAAUUCCUGGUGCAGUGCUCACACCUCAAGGGUGAUCCAAAACACAUCCUAAUGCAGUGCCCACAGAACUAAGACAUGAUCCAAGGUACAUCCUCGUGAGGUACUCACACUCAUACACCUCCUGUUGCAGUGCUCACACCUCAGGGAUGCUCCAAAACACCUCUUGGUGCAGUGGUCACAACUCAGGCAUGAUCCAAGACAUCUCCUGGUGCAGUGCUCACACCUCAGGGAUGCUCCAAGACACCUCUUGGUGCAGUGAUCACAACUCAGAUGUGAUUUAAGACAUCCCUUGGUGCAGUGAUCACACUCAGACAUGAUCCAAGAUACCUCCUGGUGCAGUGGUCACACCUAAGGAUGAUCCUAAAAAACCACCUGGUACAGUGCUCACACUCAGGCAUGAGCCACGACACCUUCUAAUCCAGUGCUCACACCUCAGGGAUGAUCCAAAACAUCUCCUGAUGCAGUGCUCACAACUCUGGC
rnacentral:lncRNA from 1 species